AUUGAACGCUGGCGGCAGGCCUAACACAUGCAAGUCGAGCGGAUGAAGGGAGCUUGCUCCUUUAUUCAUCGGCGGACGGGUGAGUAAUGCCUAGGAAUCUGCCUGGUAGUGGGUGAUAACGUCCGUAAACGGGCGCUAAUACCGCAUACGUCCUGAGGGAGAAUGUGGGGGAUCUUCGGACCUCACGCUAUCAUAUGAGCCUAGGUCGGAUUAGCUAGUUGUUGGGGUAAAGGACUACCAAGGCGACGAUCCGUAACUGGUCUGAGAGGAUGAUCAGUCACACUGGAACUGAGACGCGGCACAGACUCCUACGGGAGGCAGCAGUGGAGAAUAUUGGACAAUGGAAGAGAGCGUGAUCCAGCCAUGCCGCGUGUGUGAAGAAGGUCCUCGGAUUGUAAAGCAAUUCAAGUUGGGAGGAAGGACAGUCAGUUAAUCCCUUACUGUUUUGACGUUACCAAAAGAAUAAGCACCGGCUAACUUCGUG
rnacentral:rRNA from 1 species